rnacentral:rRNA from 1 species
UGGGGAAUUUUCCGCAAUGGGCGAAAGCCUGACGGAGCAACGCCGCGUGGAUGAAGAAGUCCUUCGGGAUGUAAAGUCCUUUCAGCAGGGACGAGUCGAAGACGGUACCUGCAGAAGAAGCAUCGGCUAACUACGUG